GACGCAGCUCUGAUUUCUGGUGUUCCU
rnacentral:piRNA from 1 species